AUUGAACGCUGGCGGCAGGCCUAACACAUGCAAGUCGAACGGUAACAGGAAGAAGCUUGCUUCUUUGCUGACGAGUGGCGGACGGGUGAGUAAUGUCUGGGAAACUGCCUGAUGGAGGGGGAUAACUACUGGAAACGGUAGCUAAUACCGCAUAACGUCGCAAGACCAAAGAGGGGGACCUUCGGGCCUCUUGCCAUCGGAUGUGCCCAGAUGGGAUUAGCUUGUUGGUGGGGUAACGGCUCACCAAGGCGACGAUCCCUAGCUGGUCUGAGGGGAUGACCAGCCACAUUGGAACUGAGACACGGUCCAGACUCCUACGGGAGGCAGCAGUGGGGAAUAUUGCACAAUGGGCGCAAGCCUGAUGCAGCCAUGCCGCGUGUAUGAAGAAGGCCUUCGGGUUGUAAAGUACUUUCAGCGGGGAGGAAGGGAGUAAAGUUAAUACCUUUGCUCAUUGACGUUACCCGCAGAAGAAGCACCGGCUAACUCCGUGCCAGCAGCCGCGGUAAUACGGAGGGUGCAAGCGUUAAUCGGAAUUACUGGGCGUAAAGCGCACGCAGGCGGUUUGUUAAGUCAGAUGUGAAAUCCCCGGGCUCAACCUGGGAACUGCAUCUGAUACUGGCAAGCUUGAGUCUCGUAGAGGGGGGUAGAAUUCCAGGUGUAGCGGUGAAAUGCGUAGAGAUCUGGAGGAAUACCGGUGGCGAAGGCGGCCCCCUGGACGAAGACUGACGCUCAGGUGCGAAAGCGUGGGGAGCAAACAGGAUUAGAUACCCUGGUAGUCCACGCCGUAAACGAUGUCGACUUGGAGGUUGUGCCCUUGAGGCGUGGCUUCCGGAGCUAACGCGUUAAGUCGACCGCCUGGGGAGUACGGCCGCAAGGUUAAAACUCAAAUGAAUUGACGGGGGCCCGCACAAGCGGUGGAGCAUGUGGUUUAAUUCGAUGCAACGCGAAGAACCUUACCUGGUCUUGACAUCCACGGAAGUUUUCAGAGAUGAGAAUGUGCCUUCGGGAACCGUGAGACAGGUGCUGCAUGGCUGUCGUCAGCUCGUGUUGUGAAAUGUUGGGUUAAGUCCCGCAACGAGCGCAACCCUUAUCCUUUGUUGCCAGCGGUCCGGCCGGGAACUCAAAGGAGACUGCCAGUGAUAAACUGGAGGAAGGUGGGGAUGACGUCAAGUCAUCAUGGCCCUUACGACCAGGGCUACACACGUGCUACAAUGGCGCAUACAAAGAGAAGCGACCUCGCGAGAGCAAGCGGACCUCAUAAAGUGCGUCGUAGUCCGGAUUGGAGUCUGCAACUCGACUCCAUGAAGUCGGAAUCGCUAGUAAUCGUGGAUCAGAAUGCCACGGUGAGUACGUUCCCGGGCCUUGUACACACCGCCCGUCACACCAUGGGAGUGGGUUGCAAAAGAAGUAGGUAGCUUAACCUUCGGGAGGGCGCUUACCACUUUGUGAUUCAUGACUGGGGUGAAGUC
rnacentral:rRNA from 1 species